CGCCGGACGAGGUGACACGGGACACGGCCACAAGGGACAACGUGACGCGGCACACGGUGACGCGGGACACGGUGACGCGGGACACGGUGGCGAAGGACAAGCCCUUCCCGCACAGGGACCAGCUGCCACCCCC